rnacentral:rRNA from 1 species
CCAAUAGCGUAUAUUAAAGUUGUUGCCGUUAAAAAGCUCGUAGUUGAAUUUUGGGUUUGGCCGAUUGGUCCGUUCUUGUAACGAGUACUGGUCGGUCGGGCCUCACCGCCUGGUGAUACGUAAUGCCCUUUAUUGGGUGUUGCGAGUAGCCAGGACCUUUACCUUGAAAAAAUUAGAGUGUUUAAAGCAGGCUUAUGCCGGAAUACAUUAGCAUGGAAUAAUAGAAUAGGACGAUGAUUCUAUUUUGUUGGUUUCUAGGAGCAUCGUAAUGAUUAAUAGGGAUAGUUGGGGGCAUUAGUAUUCAAUUGUCAGAGGUGAAAUUCUUGGAUUUAUUGAAGACUAACUACUGCGAAAGCAUUUGCCAAGGAUGUUUUCAUUAAUCAAGAACGAAAGUUAGGGGAUCGAAGACGAUCAGAUACCGUCGUAGUCUUAACCAUAAACUAUGCCGACUAGGGAUCGGGCGAUGUUGUUUCAAUGACUCGCUCGGCACCUUAUG